CCCUUAGAUGUUCUGGGCGGCCCGCGCACUACAAUGGCGUGUGCAGCGAGUGCCGAAGUAGAGUUUUCCGAGGUAUUCUUGCAAUGCUCGUUUUGAUGGGGAUAGACCCUUGCAACUGUUGGUUUUGAACGAGGAAUUCCUUGUAAGCAUGGUUUAUCAUCCGACGCUGAAUGCGUCCCUGCCCUUUGUACACACCGCCCGUCGCUCCUACCGAUGAGUCGUCCGGUGAAGUUCGUAGACCUCGUGAUCGCGGAUCACUGGGGGAAGCAAAAUGAACCUCGCGGUUUAGAGGGAGGAGAAGUCGUAACA
rnacentral:rRNA from 1 species